rnacentral:rRNA from 1 species
ACGUAGGUGGCGAGCGUUGUCCGGAAUUACUGGGCGUAAAGCGAGCGCAGGCGGGAAGUUAAGUCAGUUGUGAAAACUAUGGGCUUAACCCCGAGAGGGCAGUUGAAACUGGUUUUCUUGAGUGGAGUAGAGGCAGGCGGAAUUCCGAGUGUAGCGGUGAAAUGCGUAGAUAUGCGGAGGAACACCAGUGGCGAAGGCGGCCUGCUGGGCUUUAUCUGACGCUGAGGCGCGAAAGUGUGGGGAGCAAACAG